GGGGGCGGCUUCCGGGCGCCCACUUCGAAACGGCAGAGCGUCGCCGGCCCCGCCAUGACGCAGUCGGUUGUGGUGCAGGUGGGACAGUGCGGGAACCAGGUGGGCUGCCGGUUCUGGGACCUGGCGCUGCGGGAACACGCCGCCGUCAACAAGAAAGGAAUUUAUGAUGAAGCCUUAAGCAGCUUCUUUAGGAACGUAGAUACAAGAAGUGGCGGUGAUGGUCCUGGUAUUUACAAAGGAAAAAUCUGCUCUUUAAAAGCACGAGUAAGGCAAUCUAUAAAGGCACUGUUGAUUGACAUGGAGGAGGGUGUGGUAAAUGAAAUUCUGCAGGGACCGUUGAGGGAUAUGUUUGAUAGCAAGCAACUUAUCACAGAUGUUUCUGGUUCAGGAAACAACUGGGCUGUAGGUCAUAAGCUAUAUGGCUAUCAGUACCGGGAAAACAUUGUGGAAAAGCUGAGGAAAACCGCAGAACAUUGCGACUGUCUGCAAUGUUUCUUUAUAAUUCAUUCCAUGGGAGGUGGGACAGGAUCUGGUCUUGGAACUUUUGUACUAAAUUUGCUUGAGGACGAAUUCCCAGAAGUGUAUAGAUUUGUUACUUCAGUUUAUCCCUCUGGUGAAGAUGAUGUUAUUACUUCUCCAUAUAAUAGUGUUCUGGCUAUGAAGGAGCUUAAUGAACAUGCAGACUGUGUGUUACCAGUAGAGAAUGAAUCUCUGUUUGAUAUAGUUAAUAAAAUUAAUCAGAUGAUCAAUUCUGGGAAACUGGGGUCAACCGUGAAGCAAAAUAGCUUGGUGACAUCAAGUACAGGCAGUGUAAAAACUCUCCAAGAGAAGCCAUUUGAUGCAAUGAAUAAUAUCGUAGCCAACUUGCUGCUGAACCUGACAAGCUCUGCUAGAUUUGAAGGUUCCCUGAACAUGGAUCUUAAUGAAAUCAGUAUGAAUUUGGUUCCAUUUCCUCGACUUCAUUAUUUGGUUUCAAGUUUGACUCCUCUGUAUACGUUGGCGGAUGUUAACGUACCUUCCAGAAGGUUGGAUCAGAUGUUUUCAGAUGCAUUUAGUAGAGAUCAUCAACUAAUUCAAGCAGAUCCAAAGCACAGCCUCUACCUUGCCUGUGCACUUCUUGUUCGAGGAAAUGUGCAGGUUUCAGACCUUCGCCGAAAUAUUGAAAGGUUAAAACCUUCUCUGCACUUUGUCUCCUGGAAUCAAGAGGGCUGGAAAACUGGUUUGUGUUCAGUACCUCCUGUGGGCCAUUCCCAUUCACUUCUGGCUUUAGCAAACAACACCUGCAUAAAACCAACUUUCAUUGAACUCAAGGAGAGAUUUAUGAAGCUCUACAAGAAAAAGGCUCACCUUCACCAUUAUCUGCAAAUAGAUGGGAUGGAGCAAAGCUGUUUUUCUGAAGCUGUGUCCUCCUUGUCUGAUCUAAUAGAAGAGUACAAUGAACUGGAUGUGACAAAAGGUGGGCCUAGAACAGACCCAUCAAGACUGAAGAUAGCUGUUUAAAGAAGGAAGAACUGCUCUUUAUUUUUUUGUUUAAAAAUAAUGAAAUACUUCCUAAGCAUCCAGCCACUUCAGUUAACCAGAAUGACUUGCAGCAUGCCUGGCUGUUGUAAUUCUGAAGUGGGACCAGGACAACGGCUUCCUCAGCUCAAGAGUUGUCAUAUUAAGUGAUAAGCCCUACCUGUAAGAAAGAUUUGACAGCACCUAAUUAUAGCUGAUAUCAGUAAGAGCAGUAAUCCUAACUGUGAGUUAAAUUGACACACCAUAUGCUGUGAAGAGAAGGAAAAGAGAUUUUAGCAGCCAGAAAUGUAAUUCUUUUCUCAGACUUUACAGUAAACUAGAGGACUUUGAGUUCCGAAAACAUAUCUCCUGGAGCACUGCAAAUCCUCUGACAUACGCACGAUGUUAUCCACAUCAUCUUCCACUUGAAGAAGCCUUCAUUGGGACACUCAAACUGUACAGUGAUCAUUUUGGACUUAUUAGAUGACCGGUUCCAUAAUGAAGUAGAGGCACACACAACACUUGGCCAUUAUACAACAUAAGGCCUGGGAGCCACUCUUGUCAAGCAGCUCUGACUGCCCAAAGAGCAAAAGAGCAAGGCAAGAUCCAGCCCCUCAUCAGGUGCCAGUAUCACCAUCAAGCUUGCAGAAAAAAAAUAAAAUAUAUAGUCUAUAUUUUUUCUAGGCACAUGAAGCCCAACUUAUCAGUUUUUCUCUGUUCCUCCAAACCGCAGGGCUCUACUGGUAUAGAAAUCACCUCCAGCAGAGACACUGAGGGAAAGCUUGUGAAGGGGUCAUUCAGCUGGGUUUCCUUUCUGCUCAACUUUCAAACUGGAAAUCUCUGCAAAAUUCAGCAUUUGAUAUGUCAUAGCCCAUGGAAGCUCUCACACUAUAAUUAAGCCGGCCUAAUUGCAUGCAGCAGUAAAUGACCUUUUAAAAGCCUUUUUUCUAACAUUAAUUUCCAUUUUUCAUGGUCAUUUACAACUAUACUUACGAUAUCUUAAUCCACAGUUACUAAUGAAGCUCCAAAGUAGUAGCUUUCAAGUUCCUUUGGCUGAAUGAUUUUUAAGAUAGAUAUUAAUUUACACAGGCAAUUCUUAUAGGAAAUGAAAAUUAAAGAAUGUUGUGUGGCAUUCCAUGCAGCAUGAAGAAGAUAGUUUAAGAAAUGUGUAAUUUUGCAAAAGGAUUUCUUCUAAUCCUUUCUACCUAAAUGCAGCAAUAAUAUAGAAGCAACUAACUUAAGUGUACUUUUUUUUAGGCAGCUAAGCAUUUCCUAUAAACCAUAAUGUUAAUUGGAUGAACAUGUGCAUUGAAAUGUAAAGCUUCUUGAAGGAUCAUUAUGGAAACAAGACACACAGGUGUACCUAUACAUUUAGCAGUAUUCAAGACUGUAUGGUCUGUUCAGGAAACGCUUCCUUGCUGUUUUUUUUCUUCUUUUUAAGCAGAGCAUUAUUAUUAUUAUUACUAUUAUUAUUGUUGUUGUUGUUGUUGUUGUUGUUAUUAUCUGACCAUGUGCCAGCUAUAUGGGGUUAUGUGGCUUGAAUCAGAUACCGCAUUUCAAAAUGGGUAUGUGUACCAGGAAGUAAUCUUACGUGUUCUGCCAAUAUGUUUAAUUUGUAUUACAAAUUAAAGAAUGCUUUAAACCUACAGAAUUCUACCUAAGUGAUUUUUCUCUCUUUUUUUAGGAUAAGAUGUCAGCUGAAAGGUGUGAGACUACAAAGUUCCCCAGUAAGAAAAAACACCAUCAGGCAAAUAUCUGACAGUUUUAACACUGGAAUUACCGAAAACUUUGGUUUAGCUGAAAAAUCUUCAAAUAUCUAUUAAGUUACAAUGAAAAUGUAAAGUUUGCUUGUCAAGUUUGCAGGUCAAAUGUUUUUCUAAUUUGUGCUUCCCCGAGUUUCUAUACCAAAGUUAUUCACAUCACAGAAGCCCCCUGCAUACUUUUCCUGAUCCUAUGGGCAGAUCAGAAAAUGAGACCAUUGUGUAGGUACCCUUCAUGUGUUGUUUGUUUUCUUAUGUGUUAAAGAUUGAACAAGGUCAGUAUGGCAUAAAUAAGCAAAGAGCAGAAGUAGGCAAUGUAUUAUCGCUAAUGUUCAGUUUUCUUAGUCUGCCUCUAAAUAUGCAGAAAGUUAGCGGAGGGAGACAAUCAUCUGAAAAUUCUCCAUCUGACACUCAUCUUGAUUGUAAAGGACAAAUUUUCAAAAUUGAGUCAAUAAAUAAUGAAACUGGGCUUUGACGCAAAUACCUUUACAAAAAGCUAUCACUUAAAAUUUUCUUAUAAGAGACAAAGCAUAACACAGCCCAGGUGCCUUUCUCUUCAUAAAACUAGCCUGAAGUUAGACCACUGUGUGUAUAUAUACAUAUUUGCACACACAUAUAUACAUAGAUAUAUGGAAUAUGAGCAUAUAUGGAAUAUGAGCAUGGAUGUUUACUUCCUUACUGCAUCAGAUAAUCAUUUGUGCUUAAAUAAAAAAAAAAAAAAAAACAACGCAAGGUCACUGGCAAUUUAAGCUUCCCUAACACUUUUUUUCCCACUAAAUCAUAUUAAUGUACAGAGAGAAAAAAACUACCAAAAUCAGGACUGAUGCAGUAAAUAAGCUGCAAAUGAAAUUUACUCAGGAGUAGGGAAUGGCUGCUUAUUCUUUAUGAGGAAUUUGCUUCUCUGAAAUUUAAUUUGUUGUUAAGCAAAUAAAAACUUUUAACCAGAACAAGGU